UGGGGAAUUUUGCGCAAUGGGCGAAAGCCUGACGCAGCAACGCCGCGUGAGUGAUGAAGGCCUUUGGGUCGUAAAGCUCUGUCAGAGGGAACGAAGUGUGGGCGGCUAAUACCUGUCCAUUUGACGGUACCCUCAAAGGAAGCACCGGCUAACUCCGUGCCAGCAGCCGCGGUAAUACGGAGGGUGCAAGCGUUGUUCGGAUUUAUUGGGCGUAAAGGGCGUGUAGGCGGUUUUUUAAGUCUGAUGUGAAAGCCCCGGGCUCAACCUGGGAAGUGCGUUGGAAACUGAGAGACUUGAGUACGGGAGAGGGCAGUGGAAUUCCCAGUGUAGGAGUGAAAUCCGUAGAUAUUGGGAGGAACACCGGUGGCGAAGGCGGCUGCCUGGACCGAUACUGACGCUGAGACGCGAAAGCGUGGGGAGCAAACA
rnacentral:rRNA from 1 species